GGGCGCUUAGCUCAGCUGGUUAGAGCACUGCCCUUACAAGGCAGGGGUCACAGGUUCGAGCCCUGUAGCGCCCA
rnacentral:tRNA from 1 species